ensembl:snoRNA
AUCCUUUUUGUGGUUCAUAAGUGUAAUGACUGGGUUGCUCACACAGCUGUGUGAGAUGUGCUGCCCUCUAAACCUUGUUUUUUGUUUUUUGGACA